UGUGGGCGUCCUUGUUUAUUGCAGGGGAGCUAGACUGGAUGACCUUUAAAGGUCCCUUCCAACUUAUACAAUUCUAUGCUCAGGAUUUCUGUGUGUCUGAAGCUAUGGAGCUGUGUUUCCAACCCUUUCAGCAGCGCCACGACACUCAGAAGGGAGCUGCUGAAAAAACAGCACAGGCUGAGGAGGGCUUUGCCCAGCAAGCAGCCAGGGGUGGGACAUGAACCUCCAACCCUCAUGGCAACAUGCGCCCAUCUGCUGUUGAUUUGCUCUGAUUGAUCAGAGUCGCACAGUGAGGAUGAAACAUACCCAGGGUAGGGACUGCUAGGUAACACCAGGACACUCCGGGCUGCAAAGGUGGGUUGGAGUAACGUAAGAGCAGCGAGGAGGAGAGAGGCCUUUCUGAAACCUGUUAGGGAAAAUCCUUGGCCCAGAAAACACCUUCUAAUGUUCCCUCUGUGGAUUGUGUUACUGUGAGGGACUGCAGCCAAGACCUGGUGCGGGGGCACAGGUUGCUGCCACAGAAACUAAGGGGAAGAGGGGAACUCGACACGGCCAUGUGCAGCUCUGCUGAAGAGCCUGCAGUCGGAGUCGGAGGACACCACCACCAUGAGGACUUCACAGAAUUUACAUCAUGGCAUCUAGUGGCUGAAAAGUGCACAGAGGGUCCACAACAGCGUCACACGGUGAGUCAAAAGCAGCAACUCUGGGACAUUCCCAAUGAAAAUACCUGCUGUGCUCCUCUCAAAGCCCAGCCUUUGGUCACUGGACAUAAACAUCAAAAUCCUUAAUUGGCUGCUGGCUUUCCAGAAGGUGUAUCUGAGCUUAGGAAAUGGUGAUCAGUUGCAGCCAUGUUCUCUGCAAUAAGGAAAACAGCAGCCACAGGGGUAUCAGAGGUCACAUACUCCCAGAAAAGCUCCCUGCAGGUGCCCAGAACCCCUAGGAACAAUUGCCAAGCCCUUGGAGAUAGGACUAGCCCUUCUCUCUAUAAGGCAUUUUUUUUCACCGAAUGGCCAAGUAUCGCGUCCAGACUGCAGCUAAAUCAAUUCCUCUGAAAGCCUGCUUGAAAUGAGUUUCACUUCUGCUGCUCUGCCUAUUCCUUUUAUUUAUGAGCUCUGCCAUCUUAUAGGAAACAACCCAAGAUGUUCAUGCAUGAGGCAUCUCUAAGAGAUAAAUCUUGCUUAUUUAUUAAUUUAUUUAUUUAAGUAACAAAAAGAAAAGUGUUCAGAUUCCAAGGUUGCCAUGUAAAAAGUGCACCUUAACAAUAUUGGGUGUGAUUUUUUUUUCCUCAGUGAGGUGAGAAAGACAUUUGCUAUUCACGUCUUGGAAGCCAAACAAAUAGCAUAAUUGUUUCCUUUCUCAGCAAUGGCAAAUGCAUCUCAACUUAGCUCUGUGCUUUAUACUUGUAUCCUAUAAACCAACACAUUCCCUUGCAAAAUGACAUUUGCAACAGAGCACAAACACUGUGCUAUACCUGGCACCAAGUCUGUGCUUGGGGUCACAAUCCAGACCUUCUGGUGAUAAGGUGGACACUCUGUUCUAAAAACUCUGUAACUAAGUUUACCAUAGGAUAAUUCCAGUUUAAUGUGUAUGAAGCCUUUUAAUGGAGAACAAACAUUUUACUUACUGUGGGGUCACUUUCAAAUGUAAUUUAGGACUCCAGCAGCAGGUUUCCUUGGUCUUUUUUUAAAGCUGCUGAGUGUCUCUGUGUCUCAGGGAGUACAGCUUGUGUCACAGGUGCUCUCUGCUUCAGAAAGACAGGGCUUAAAUGAGCUGGCAUUCCCCAAAGUAGGGUAUGUGCCCACAAAACACAAGUGAUGACUGUAUGUAAAUAAACACUAAUCCUCUGCUGCACUUCCUAAACCUAAGCCUAAAAGUAGAAAAUAAAAAGAAAAAUCUGCUCUGUGUUAGGCCCAGAUCCUAUCCAUGUUGCACAGGUCAUGAGCAAGGACAAUGCUGUUUCUUGUUGCUUUUUUGUACUGCACACACGCUACCACAGAAGUGAGAGCAGCUGCUAUCAUAUUUCUCCAUAUCAUUUCAAUUUCAUCUUCUGUGCAAAAUAUCUUGAAUUCCAAAGAGUCAGUGUGCAGGGGCAACUGGCACCUUGUGGGACAGUGUCAGUGUGACACGGCACAAAGCAAAUCCCUGUGCCUUCCACUUCCAGUGGCUACAAGGCACUAUGCAUUGCCUUCUCUCCACAUGAGUAUACGCUCACCCUUUGGAUUUCAUAGGACAGAUGUUCAAAGCUGCAUAAAUGAGUGUCUACAGAAUGGUAAAUAUGUGUACAAAAACACGCAGCAUGCUUACAGAAAAUGAUGGAAAACAGGCUUGGGUGCUUUUUCAGGCGCCACCUGGAAAGGUUGGCGACUUCACCUGUGCAAUCUCCACAAGUAAAUAAGUUUUCAUUAGAAAACAAUAGGAGUUGAAACUUUCAGGUAUGUGCAUGUCAUUAAGCUCACCAUGCCGCUUUAAAAAUGCAGUUUAAAUGGCAGGUAAUUGUUUCCAUAUUAAAGAAAGCUUAAGAAUGACUGACAAGAUCUGCUUUUGCAGCUCUUAUUUCUGCCAAUCAAGCUACUGAGGACAAAAGUAAACAGCGCAUAUUUAGAAAAUAUAUUUUUAAAGUUGGGCUUUGACUGAACAGUAACUUCACAAGAAAGUGAAGUCUCCCUAACUAGCUGUGACUAAAAUACAGCAAACAAAAGUAUUAAAAACCAUGUAAUGAAGAAACAAAGCUAUGCAACCAAAAGACAGUUUCAACAAACAGACACCUGCACCCUCUUCCAGGCUUGGCAUCAAAGCUGAAUGCUUGGAUCCAAGAGCUGAUUAACUCUUUCCUCCCACCCUAGCUACCUCCCACUCAUCUGCUCUUCCAUAGUCCCUUCCUUAUCUGUUUUUGCUGCCAGGUGGUCUGGCAUUCACUUAUCAUGGCCUCAGAGAACUCUGCGAUACAGAGGAUUGGAAAAACAAACUAAAUUCUCCUCCUGAGCCAGGUAGGUCCCCAGGUGCUUGUCCUCAUUACAGAGAUUGCUCUGGGAGCUGGAUCCAGCUGGCAAAGGUUUCUCAUUAAGAUGGCAAGGCUGCAGAUGUGAAGCUGGAGGGAAAGUACAUAGCUGCUGAGUAGAGGUGGCCUUGGGGUGGGGGUUAAGGAGGUGAAUGAAGUGCUUAAGUGUAGAGUUUUGUGGAGUUCUGUUAACUGUGAAAGUGGUAUGCAUUUUUAGUGCAUUCAGGUUUGUAUGGGUUUGGAUUUACUUCCACUUUCUCUGCUCUGAAGACAUUAUAAUCUUACCUCACGUUGUCUCAGUGCCAGCUGACCGCAGGAUCCAUCCAGCCGACCGCUUUGCGGUGAUGAAUUGCUGUAUUUGCUGCUGGCUGCAUAUGGCAGAGAGUUUAAGAUCUCCAUGAAGGAAAAUGAUUAUCGUUGAGUCACGCCAAUAGCUGCGACGCUGGCUGCCUGCCCCCGCCAGCCUGCUGCACCACUUGUGUGCUAAUGUUUGGAUCCUAGUGAUGGGAAAUGAAUGUCAGCCUGUACUCUCUUCAUGCACCAUUGAGCUGUGCUUAUGGUCGCUUUUGGCAGCACCAAAUCAUCAAACAGAUAAAACCAUCAGUCUUUUUAUUUCCAAACAUUAACCUAACUGCUAAUAAAGCACAGCUCAUGUCAUCCUUAUGGACUCUGCAGAGCUGAGUCACACGAUAAACAGGAUCCGAAUGCUGGAAAAUGGCUCGUGCUUCUUCCUCGUUCUGCGGCUGGGCCUGCUGUGUGAGCGAGGCCUAUCCGGAGGAGUUCUGCCUCAGGCCUGCAUGCUACAGCUGGAUGGGGAAGCUGGUGGAACUGGGUUCUCUCUGCCUAGCACAGCAUGGGGCUGUGACCUGUGUGUUUUGGGGUGUGCACAGUGGGCCACUCAGCCUCAGCUCACGUGGGGAAGGCUUUCCAGGCCCCAGGGUGGAGGAAAUGGAGCAAUCCUCCCUCCCCACAGACUUUGCCUCCAGUGGCUUGAACAUAUUUUUCCCCAAACAUCUCCCAGCGAAACUGGAGGGGUUUUGUAAAUUCAUUAUGUCACGGAGGAAUCUGUUUAAUCAGCCGCCUUUCCCCAGAGGCGCUUUGUGCUUAAUGAGACGCUUGAUGGAAGGAAUCAAAAUUGGUUUAUACGAGUUUAGCCUGAGAGCCUCCAGCCAAUGUAUUACUGAGUGCACUGUAAUUUAGAGGGGUAAACAGAGAGGCUGAGCAGUUAUCACCCUGUUUGCUUGAGGUCAGUGGCAGGGGUGAAAGGUAAAACCUGGAGCUCUGCACUGCACCAUCCCUCUCCUAGGUGUCAUUGUGAUAAAUGGCACAAGUCUCUGUGCUACCAGGAGCCUGCUCCCUGCUGCUGGUGUGAUCUGUUGGGCUCUCUUCUUCCCCAGUGCAGUUUGCAGUCAUGCAGCAAGGCACGUUCUUGCUUAGCUUAAGUCUCAGGAUGUCUCACUAACUCAGGAAGUAUCCAUCUGAGGCAUACAGCAUGUAUGUAGAAAUGGCAUCAGAAACACAGUGAGCUAGAUAGUGGGACGCAGAGCUGCAGCGUGGAAUAGUUCCAACUUUAGGUCCAAAAUCCAUUAUUAAAAUAUUCCCCUGUGAAAUUAAUGUACAAAGAGCAAUCCUUUGUUUCCUCUUCACAUCCACAUUCUUUAGCUGCCUGUACUAACCACCAGAUUACCUUGUGACCUGCCCUCCUGUAGUGGGCCAGCUCUGUGGCUACCAGGCCUUCAUCAUUUAGCCCUCUUUUUUUCUUUUCUUUUUAAUUUAUCCUGAGAAAGACAAGACUGAAUUAUCAACAGAAGUGGAAUUUCACACUGACAAAUAUGUUUAGUUACUUUUCCAAGCACCCAUGAUGCAUCUUUUCUCUGUGUCAUUCUGUUUAAAGCUAGUGGUUUAUUACUCACCUGAGAAUAGUUUAUAAUUUUGUAUAAUUGUUUCUGGGAUGUAAGUAUGUAGAUCUUGGUGCAGUUAAGAUAUGGUUGGUUUGUGUGAACUGCUUAAGAUAUGUAGCUUAGAAUAAAAAGCUUUUUUUUUUCUCACAAAGAUGAUGUUUAAUGGACAAAAAAAUAGAUGUACAUUCAUCACAUCACAUUUAUUUUACUUUCGACUGUUAGAGUUGAUGGUCUAUGUAAUGUAUCCAUUUAAGGUUUUUUAAUACAAAUACAAAUUUAUGAGAAUGCCUCUUACCAUCAAUCUUUAACACGUUGUCUAGAGAUUACUUAUGAGCUAUUGGUAUCUUUCCCACCUUCUUCCUCUUUUUAGUUAAAGUUUAAAAUGACUGCAGACAAAAGCACAAUUUAGAAUGGAAUUGAUUUUACAUCAUCUGGUUCCACUUGAUAUGAUAUUAAGGUAUUAGAGAAUUGCAUCAUCAUCUCUUGCUGUGAAGUUGCAUUAUGUUCCGCAGCCCUGGCUCACUUAAUAGUGCUUCAGUAGUACAUGCUUAAUUGCUCAGCAAAUGACACAACAUGUGAAGAAAUAGUACCUAAAACAUGAUUUAUCUCUCUUCAGGCAAAGACACUGAGAACUGGAUCAUCAGCCUUCAUUAUUCUUACGGGAACACAGGCGGAUCUGAAAACUGUGGUCAAGUCAGAUGCUAAGCACACUCAGAACAUGCACCUUUUAUUAAAGGUACAUCAGCUCUGUCAGUCAAGCUCAAGCCUGAAUGUCUUCUUAAAACUACACAGGUCACAAUGUAUUAACAUAUGCAUCCUGUGGAGAAGAGGUUCCUUGUGGCUCUGAAGACAUGUACUCUGGGCAGGCUGGGUGCUGGCAUGAUUACCAGAGAUCAGUGGGCUUGCUGUAUGCUCACUGUAGGGAGCAGGUGUAUGCAGCCGGGUGAAAGCAGUAUGUGAUUUCAGUGGGGUACAGUGGGACUUGUAGGGGAAGAGGGAAGAAGGGGCUGGAUAGAGAGAAAAAGUGUUUUUACAGAUGAGGUCUCCCACUGUGAGUCUACCUGGAGUGGAGAAUCUUGCCAACACAAGCAUUGGUUCACAAGUGUCUAGAAAGUGGCUAGAACUGUUGCAGAGCAGAGUAUAGUAGACAAUUUUUUUAAUAGCUGGGUCUUACAUGGCACAAAGACUGCCUCCAGUCCAAGCUCAAACUUUGGCAUACCAUACUUUGAGUCUCUCCAAAUGCAGAAUGAAUUAAAGAUGGACUACUGUAAAGAUCAGUAGAGCAUUAAGGUUGUGUGGCGAUUUAUAAUUACUUCUUGUGCCUUCCUCUCUGCUUUGAGUAGAGAUAGUCUGGUACAGCCUGUUGUAGAGGGUAGAACGAGUUCAGUCCCUUUGUUCUCCCUCCAGAAGAGCUGAAAUGCAGUAACCUGACCUCCAACGUCUUCCCUGAUUACAUCUGUCAUUUUUAAAAUUAAUUCAGAUCACGUUAUCUUUUUUUUUUCUGUAUUCCACUGCAUCCAUUCCUCUUGCCUCUUCCUCAUAAUAAUUAAUAAAACAAACAAACAAACAGGAAAAAAAAACAGCCUAACACAUGGUUUUUACAGAAGAAAACUAGGAAAUAGGACUGUAAGCAAAACAGGCUGCCAAGUGUGCCCCACACAUUUCACAGGAUCAGGGCUUUAAUGAUGUUGUAUGUUAGUGUUUUGCAUAUGUGGUGCAUUGAUUUGCCGUAUCUUUGGGGUUUAUUUAAUUUUUUUCUUUCUAGGCCAUUUUUUCCCAGUCUGCUUUAUUUCUCACCUUUUUCUUUUGUUGGAAGAAAAUAAGCACAUUUUAUAGGCCAAACUGAAGUAUCCUGAAAUUGCAUGAAAUGCUAUCCCUGGAAGGCACUCCUUGAAAAGUGUUAAGACAAUGGUAGCCUAGUUCAACCAAGUGUCUAAGGUGUCUCACGUGGUAUAGUCAAACUGUCUGUAAGAGGAGUCUAAGUUCAUUCAUGAGUUCAAAUUUUGUGCGCUAUCUAUACAGCUUUUGUGUCCAACAUGGCUGCAGGCUAUGCUUCGAAAGAUAUCUGAAGAGAAAUGUCCACGACUCUCCUAGGUGGUGUGGAUGAGUCAUGCAUGAGCAGACUACAGUCCAUGCCACUAGCAUGUUCAGUAAGCCUUGCAUUUCAUUUGUAGGGUGUGGCUGGCCCAAAGCAGAGUUCCUUUAUGAUACACAGAGGAGCUAAGAGUUGAUAGCACAGAAGGGAACGUGACAUAGUGGAUCCCAAAACUCGCAGUGCUCUUCACCUCCCAGUGCUUUUGAACACUUAAAAAGGCUUAAAAACCUUUCCAUGUUCCUUGCCUUAGAGUGGAAUAGUCUCAGAAUCCCAAGGAGAAUCCUUAAUGUUGCUGAUUUUAUUGAUUCAUCAGCUUAGGUUCCAAAUGUUACAGUUCUAAAUUAUCAAACUGUAUGGUAAUGAGGAAGCAGUAUCGUGAGGGUCUCUUGCUUAAUGUGAUUCAAGUGCACAACUCCUUUGUACUUAUAUUUCUAUGGGAAGCAGAAGUAGAGAAUCUUUUGCUUACAAAAUGGUGGAAAAGCAGAGAAAUUAAGAGCCAUGAGGAAAUGUCUGGGAACUUCUGGCAGUACAGUUCAGGAAGGAAAGCACAGGGUGUUAUGCUAUUUUUGUGUACGGUCAUCUGUUGUACGAGCUACAAACCCUGCGGACUUUAAUGAUGUCUCCUUUGAAUUCUGAAAUCCUGUAACUAAUCUGAGUCGUUUGCACAGCUGAACAGACUCAAGGUCUCUUAAGUAAAUUGGAAAUACCUAUAAUUCUGCAGGAAAUUAGAGACAGUUAGAUAGUCCCAUAGCAGAGGAAGAAAUAAAAAAGGAGCUAUAAAAUCUCUGGUCUCUGGGAAAGCUCUGGGUGAAGAUGACUUGGUAAUAGAAUUUUCAAAACUCUUUCAGUCUUACUUGGCUCCUGUCAUCUGGAAAAAUUUUCAAAAGGCCAAAGAGAAAGGGUUCCAUUUCAGCAUUAAUUGCAGUGUUGGGUUUUCUUAACCCUCUUUCCUAGGAAAUAACUCAUUGAUGCACCAUUUGCAAUAAUUAAAUUACAGGCCAAUUCUUUUGACUAAUGUGACUCAGAAGACAGGUUAAAAUAGCAUUUAGAAAAAUUCUAAACAGCAUACCUUAUGGACAAGAAUUUAGCAUAUGUCUUGAGGUUCACAUUAAUCAGAAAGCUGCUCAGAGUCUAUGGCCUGUUAUUAUAAUUUGCUAUUUUUAAAAUUCUCUGAAGUAAUCAGAAAAUCAACCAGCUCAACAGCCCUAAAGAGGGCUGCUUCCCACCCACCAGCAGUGGCUGACUUCACUGUUGACAUAAAAACCAUGAAGAUCUCAGUCUAGUAUUCUGCCAUGUAAUUGUAUCCUUAAUUUUGGCCUUGUUGAAAGUCUGCUGGAAAAUUGAGCUCGUGUGUCCUCAUUAGAAGCAAUUCAUAUGUAAAUCAUGGAAGAUAUUUUUUAAACUUGAAGAAAGAAAACAUCCCUGCCUCAAACAUUCUGCAGGCUCUUGCUCCUCUUGUGGUUCCUGUGUGGCUGUGACUCUUGGCAAAUCUGAUGCAGUGUGAGGGUUGCUGGCCACACUUUUGGCUGCUCUUGCCUUAGCUGCUGGAGAAAGCAUCUGUCAAGAGACAUUACCUUUUGCUGACCUUGGCUCAGUCAGUGCAAAGACAUGAGACAAACUAUGCUAUCUUCUAUGCUCAUAUGCCUGGCAUAUACCCAUGGAAGGUGCUUCUCUCUCUUGAGUCAAUAGUAGCCAUCUGGUUUCAGCUUUUAUGCAUAUAAGAAGGCUCAUUUUUUGCUCUUCUACAUGCAAAAAUAAGCUGAAGUGGCAGCUUAGCAGUAGUGGAAUGACAUCCUAGUGUUAAAAUAGAGUAACUUUGAAAACGUAUUAAAUAAGCAACAGUUGGAUGAGUUUUCUGGACAAUAAAAUUGAUAAAGAAGCAUAUGAGGUAACAGCCAAGUGCUUGUGUGAGAGUAUGACUUUGAUAAAAUGCAGGCACCUGUUUCUUCUGAGUAUUUCUGGAUCUGGAAAUGGAAGUUAUUGGUAGUACUGAAGGCGUUGACAGCUAUUCAAAAGUGUAAAGGAAUGUCAAGUCCUGAUUGUGAUUUCUGUGCUUUUCUAUUGGAUGAGCUCAGUCCACUCACACUCUUAACUGAUCCUGAAAAGCAAUGUGUCUGAGGUAUUUGUCUCUCAGAAAGGUGAGGGUGAGUCUCUGCUGCUCAAAAAUGAAUUUCAAACUAUUGCUGAAGUUUCCUAUUGGUGUCAUCUUACUAUAAACGUAUAAAAAUACGGAAGAGUGGAACUGGGUUGCAGAGGAUGAAAUUCAGAUUGAUUAAAAAUUGUUUAUCAAAACCCUCUGGUUUUUGUUGAAUAAAUAAUCCUACAUGGAAAAGAGGAAAAAAAAAAAAGUCCAAGGUAAUAUGUGAGGUAGGUAAUUGUUUAUUGUUCAUGAAUUGUCCAGUUCAUUGCAACAAGAAAUUAUAGCUGCUUGAAAUCCAACCUUGUGCCCAGAAAACGUGUAAAAGCACAGCUGGCCCUGUCUGGACUGGAAAUCUUUAAGACUAAUGGCAAAGACUUUAUUUUGAGAGAGUAUCUAGCUUCAAAAAUGAAUAGGGGCUGCAUGUUCCAAAUGUCACCUGUCAAUUUAACAAAUGGCAACUAUAUACACAUCUUAAUGCCAGAUUGCCGUUUCAUUAGGCUCAUUGUGGCUUAUCUAUAGCAACUGGCAUUCUAGCAGCAGCAGCAGAAAUACAGGAGGAUAGAGACUCCUGAUCACUGCUGUUCCUCAGCUACAUGGAGCAUACUGCUUUUGGAAUACAGGAAGAGAGAAAAAGGGCCCAAAAUGGAAAAAAUGCCCAGCAAGAUGGAGAAGGAGGCACGUUCUUCAGUACAGCUGUGCUGCACUUAGUCUAACACCCCAUAAAGAUAGGGUGAGAGGUAAUGGCCUCACGUUGUGCCAGGGGAGGUUCGUGUUGAAUAUUAGGAAACAUUUCUUCUCAGAAAGAGCAGUGAGUCAUUGGCACAGGCUGCCCAGGAAGGUGGUGGAGUCACCAUCCUUGGAGAUGUUCUAGAAAUGUGUGGAUAUGGCUCUGAGGGAAAUGGUUAGUGGGCAUGAUGGGAAUCGGUUGGACUAGAUGAUCUUAGUGAUCUUUUCCAACCUUAAUAGUUCUGUGAUAUACUUGACCCAGCUUCAAGCCAUUGCAAGUCUAUUCCCAAACUGCCCUCUGCUGUGCAGAACAACAGCUCCACAAGAACUGUGCAAACCCAUAGUUAAAAAUCCCCAAGCUGCAGCUGCCCACGCCAAAGCUGGCAGAUCUUCUCAGUGGUAGAAAUGCCACUGAAGUGUCCUACAGCGUAAGUAAUCAAGGUUUUGUUGCAACCAUUGCAGAGAGCUUUCAGCCCACCCUGUUGUCAGUGGCAGCUCAGACAUCCUUACGGAGCUCCCUGACAGGAUAAACACAUUUAAAUAUUAAAAAGUGCACUUGCCAGGUACCAUUCUGAGUGAUUCAUUCAGACUGCUGCUGCCAGUAUAAGUGCUGCACAACAUGUCUGGAAAUAUGUUGCAGAGUGGAUGGAUUUCUUAGAAAAACACUCAUUCGCUAUCUGCAGACUCAAGGUUAGUAGUAACAGACUGGUCAUUGCACAAGUGGAGGGUUUCCGAGCUGAGUAACUGAGCUCAGGGGUGAGGCCAGAACUGGGAAGGCAGUUAGGUAAUUUUGUUUCCAGGCUAAACCUCUUCAUUUGCUUGUACAGAGUAUUCGUGGGAGUUUGCUCAGGGAUUUGUACAUGGAGAACACAAAUGACUGUUCCCCUGUUGCAGAGCACUCCCAACAGUUGCAAGCUGCUUCUCGCUGGGAGUCCCCUGUUCCAAACAGUGAUCGCAGUCACAGCAACACAGCUGCAGUGGGGACACUCCAUCCCCUGACAGCUCUGCAUGCUGCGGCCAGGCCAAUCUGCUCCCCUGCAACAUGCAUCCGUAGGGUUUGGAGGGAAAUGGUGUACCACAGAAUCACCAAAUGGCUUGGGUUGGAAGGGACCUUAAAGAUCAUCCAGUUCUAACCCUCCUGCCAAGGGGGUUGUAGAUACAUACAGGUUUCUACAUCCAUGUUCUUAUUUUCAUUUUACUUUCUUUCAUUGGGUGUGUGAAAAAAGCUGGUAAGCCAUUGAAGUCAGUGUCCUCACAGCCAGUUGCUUCAAUGCAUGCCUGUUUUUUCCAGCUGUAUCAUGUGGUUUAAUAAAAGGUAUUGCCUCUCCCAACAAAUCUUGUUUCCCUCACCAGUAUGUCUGCGCUGAUAAUGACACAAACUACUGCAGCUUUAAUGGCUACAUCUCAGACUUCAAAAGGAGAAAGUCAGAAUCAAAGUCGUGUCAGUAUUUAUUGCACUGGUUCCUUUUAUGCGGAGAAAGCUAUGAAGAUUACAGAAGUGCCCCAACAAAUCUUCCACCAUAUAUAAGUGUGAAAUCCUGACACCAAAAAAAUCAGUGACUGAAUAAUUCUUCCCAUCAGCACCAGGAUCUGAAUCAUUUCAUCAUUUCAGAAAUGGCCCCAGCACCUCAAGCAGCUCACACAAGCACCACAUGAGCUGAGGUUGGCAAGGGUAAGCACAGCUCAGGUCACGGUGCUGCUCCUCAGCCAGAAAGUGCUGCAGAGCCCAAACUGCUGCCCUGGUUUGCCAGCAGAACUGACAGGGAAGGGCAGAGUUAAUUACACCGUGCCACGCAUUUAAGUCUACAGAGCCCCUGAUUUUAUGUUUUCCUCCUAUUCUAAUCGCUUAGAUUUCUAGAAAACAAAGUAAGGCACCGUGUAAAACAUCACUAUGGAAACAUCACAGGCUCACUCGCACUUGACUGCCAACUACCUAACUGAAGUUUUACAUCCUCUUGGAUCACUGCUGGCCAUCUGCUCUCCUUCAAACUUCUCUGAGUUCUUUAUAUCCCUGAAAAGUUCAUUUUUAGAAAGGAGGGAGGAGGAAAACGAAAGGGGAGAAUCCAGCAUUCUUGGCUAUCGCAGAGCUAUUGUGAAAAAGGAAGAUAAAUUCACUUUGGGGCAGCCCCUUAAAAAGACAAAGCUCCGUGUUUUGUAAUUCUGCAGAAAACACCCCAUUUUGAGAUGCACUUCCAUGAUAAGGGUAUCUAUUGGCAGCCACAAGGCAAAACAAAUAAACAGCUGCUUCUAGUACUCUGGCACUAAUUGUCUUCCUCUCUCUUUCUCUCAUUUAGUGUCAAAUGUAUUUUCUUCUAAAAUGUAACAGUUACUGCCUACACUGGAGUUGCUGGCUGCAGGCUCCCCGGUCUUUCUCCAAACAAAACACAGGAAUAGAUUUCCUGCCAAGCACUGGAGAAGUUUGAAGACCUCAGUUUUUAAAAAUACAAUCUUUUUAUCAGUGCCCUGAGCCUGCCAGAGGUAAUUAUGGGCCACGGUGCAUUUACAUUAAUGCGCAGGACCUACAGACGUUUCAAACGCUUAAUGGAGAAACUCCAUAAAAGCACAUAUUGAAAAAUAAAUUAAUUAAAUUAAACUGUCAUGUAAAGAUAUCACUUAAUUUUACAGAGCGGAAGGCGCUCUUAAUGGGAAUGGAAUGGAUCAGUGAGCAUUUCAAAACCCAAAGCUAUAAUUUAAAAUCAGCCUCUCUUCUAGUGUGCGAGUCACAAGACAUAUUUAUUAUAGCCUUGCAUUGUCGAUUGUAAUUGGUUUAGCAGAGACAAAGCCGCGUUGCUUUGCUUCCUUGCCCUCCUAGCUGGGUCAGUGUUGUUUGAUGUCAGACUAUUGACAAGCAAACCAAACGCUGAAAUAAAAUCGUGCACAUAUUGGAUGAACUGGCAGAAAUGCAGUCCAAAGUAAACGUAAUGCUGAAGCCUACGUAAGUUAUUUAUCUGGUAGCAAGGGAAAAAAUGUGAGGUGAAGCAUUUCAGCUUCUUUAAAUAAAUCAGUUGGAUCUAUUUACUGCUGUUCUUCAAGCCUGCUAUGUGCCAACAGACACCAAUUGAUGUAAAUAAAUUAAAUAAAUAAGUGAAAAUGAAUACCGUCAUUUAUAAGCUGCUGCUCUGAGCUUUCCAAGUGGCAGUACAGUAACAAAGAAGAUCGUUGCACCUGACAGUUUUUCAGGGCUAUAGCUAAAGCCUUAGGUCCAGGCCCCCAGCAAGCAGACAGCAACAGUCCUUCCAGGACAACAUCAGCAUGGCAACCAUUGGUUCCUGGGGUGCUUCUGGGUGGUUUGCUGCAAGAUAUGAUGUGGCAGCAACAGUUAUAAAGCAAGCCUGUGUUUCUGCAGUCAUAAGCAACUGUCUCGUUCUUAAAUAAGCAUUCCAAAGGUUUAAUUUUUUUUUCUUACCUUGUUCUUCCUCUGUUUCAUAAAUUCUCUUUCUUGUAAGCUCACUUUCUGCUCUGAGCCACUGAGUCUGGUGAAGUGAUCUGGUAAUAACUGUCAUGGCAUCCUUCUGCCUUCUUCCUGUCCAUGCACUGAGGUUAGCAAUGGUGAUGUUUGAGGCUGAACUGCGAGCCUCCUGCUCACAUAAAGAGCUGCAAGAGCCACUAUUGCUGUGGUGGGAGCAUGGCAGUUUGCAGGUAGAGGAACAGUGCUGAGCAGAGGUGGAAGAGGUAAGGGAGUGACUGCACACAUGCCAGCUGCCAAGACAUCACUGUGGUUCUCCUGAAUGACUGCUCUUUGAGCACAACUUGUUUCUUUAGUACAAAUACCUGUGCAUCUGCAUUUGUUCUUGCUCACAUAGGUAAUGGGAUUUUAAGGAGAAUGGACUUGAAGUGUAAUUUUUCACCGCUCUAUUCCCUAAAGUACUUAUUAUACUUAGGAAAACAUCCAGAUGUGUCUUCCAAUACUGCUGCAAAUGGUAAACAGAGACAUCUUUUAUAGCCUUGAUGUAAUACAUGGCGUUUUAGCUUGCUAAGUGAUCUCUCUUUCUUGUCUCCUAUCUAAAAUGCAAAUGAUUGUCCUUGAUAGCUCUGGACAGAAACUUUAUUUUUGACACCUUCAGUCUCCCUCAGCUCUGAACAGGAUUUAAACUGUUUUCAAGUGACAGGUUACCCCUGGUUCCUAUUAAAAGUAUUUCUAUUCCACCUGUAAAGACUGCAGAAUUAGAUGCAGCUUUUAAAAGUUUUCUUAACAGUGAUCUUUCUGCUCAUUUCUGUGGCUCCUACUGACACAAUGUGCAAAUACCAACAACGUUCUCUGAAACAACGCACUGGGGAAGAAAAGCUUUCUUUGCUGCUCAGCAGCCCAGGUGCUAAGAGACUUAGGUUAUGGCCCAAAACAAUACAUAGGCUUCAAUUCUUACUGCCACUGAUGUCUGUGACAAGUUCAAAGUCUGGAGUCUUCCUUUGAUUUGAACUUUAGAUACUUCAUCGUUUGAAAAUGUUAGUCUGCUAUGAGAACUGAAUGUAUGUAUCUGCACAAAAAAAUAGCUAGCUGAUGUUACUAAUAAAAUACCACAACCACAGGUGUGAAUGUUUAUUUGCAAGAAAAGUCACUGCAUGUAAGUAAAAAUAGUCUUUUUCUAAACAGCUCCUCCAGCAUAGCUGCCUUUUUCAUGAGCCCUUGCAGCCCUGAAGCUAAAGGAAUCUGUAAUUGAAGUCAUAACUUCUUUUGCCUAUGGAAAGUACUCGAGAGCAAUGUACUGGGCACUGCUAAGUAAUGGUCACUGGGUCAGGAGUAUGGGACAGGUCACAGACGUGAUUCUAAUUCUAAUUUAUUAGGAGCAAUGGUGUCAAAAUAAUAUUUGUAAUGUUCUUUAAGAAAAAAAACACACACACAAAAACACACUUCUGAGCAUUCUUGUUUGAAAUAUCCAAGAGGUUUAAUUGUACUUGACUUCUGUAGUUACAGAAUUAUAACUACUGUUUCACAUUAAAAAAUAAAAAAAGACAUUUCUUAAAAUGCUAAAUAUCAACUCUAAGCCACAGGUAAGUAUCCACUAAGAGCAAUAUAAUCAAGAUUGUACUGAGCUUGUAUUCUUAAUUCAUUAGUGGAACUGUAAGGCCCUCUUCUGGAUUAUAAAUUAUUGCAUGGCCAAGCAAA